rnacentral:pre_miRNA from 1 species
UUGGUACUUGGAGAGAGGUGGUCCGUGGCGCGUUCGCUUUAUUUAUGGCGCACAUUACACGGUCGACCUCUUUGCAGUAUCUAA